rnacentral:rRNA from 1 species
UACGAAGGGGGCUAGCGUUGUUCGGAAUUACUGGGCGUAAAGCGCACGUAGGCGGAUCGAUCAGUCAGGGGUGAAAUCCCAGGGCUCAACCCUGGAACUGCCUUUGAUACUGUCGAUCUGGAGUAUGGAAGAGGUGAGUGGAAUUCCCGGUGUAGCGGUGAAAUGCGUAGAUAUCGGGAGGAAUACCUAUGGCGAAAGCAGGUCUCUGGGCCAUCACUGACGCUGAGCUGCGAAAGCUAGGGGGAGCAAACAGG